AGAAGAGGUUGAUUUCUUGAAUUGAAGACACUAACAAGCUUCAAGGUUAGUGAAUUUACGUGGAGUAUACGUUGCGUUUGUGGUAAGAAUUUGCAAUUCGCUUUGAGGUGAGUCUAGUUUCGGUACCAGGGUCGCGGAUCAGGAGGAGAGUUCGUGACAUGGAUAG